rnacentral:rRNA from 1 species
GCCCCAACAGCUAGCUCACCCAAAUAAUUCCAACAAACAACAUUAAUAACCCCGAAAAUAAUUUUCCCAAUGCAACAAACCAUUUUACCAUCCUAGUAUGGGAGACAGAAAAG